UGCAAUUUAAAAAAAAAAAAAUUGUGUGGUGAUAGGCCAUGGCUGUUUACAGAUGUGAAGUUGCAUGGCUGCAACUGUGAUUUUAGGUGUCAUGUACCACUUUAGUUGUCAUCACAUGAACCUUAUUGUUGUGUUUUUCUAAUUAUAUUCUAAGAUGCUAGUAUAUUCUUUUAAUUCAAUGUUUCAUAAACGGAGUACUAAAGAUUUUAUUGGA
rnacentral:misc_RNA from 1 species